UACGGGGGGGGCAAGCGUUGUUCGGAAUUAUUGGGCGUAAAGCGCGCGUAGGCGGCUACUUAAGUCGGAUGUGAAAGCCCCUGGCUCAACUGGGGAAGUGCACCCGAAACUGAGUAGCUAGAGUGCAAAAGAGGGUCGCGGAAUUCCCGGUGUAGAGGUGAAAUUCGUAGAUAUCGGGAGGAACACCGGUGGCGAAGGCGGCGACCUGGGUUGACACUGACGCUGAGGCGCGAAAGCGUGGGGAGCAAACAGG
rnacentral:rRNA from 1 species